rnacentral:rRNA from 1 species
UACGUAGGGUGCGAGCGUUGUCCGGAAUUACUGGGCGUAAAGAGCUCGUAGGUGGUUUGUCGCGUUGUUCGUGAAAACUCACAGCUCAACUGUGGGCGUGCGGGCGAUACGGGCAGACUGGAGUACUGCAGGGGAGACUGGAAUUCCUGGUGUAGCGGUGGAAUGCGCAGAUAUCAGGAGGAACACCGGUGGCGAAGGCGGGUCUCGUGGGCAGUGAACUG